rnacentral:rRNA from 1 species
UACGUAGGGGGCUAGCGUUGUCCGGAUUUAUUGGGUGUAAAGGGUGCGUAGGCGGCUUUGUAAGUCAAUCGUGAAAUCUGUAGGCUUAACCUACAGCCUGCGUUUGAUACUGCAUAGCUUGAGUUGAGUAGAGGUAAGCGGAAUUUCCGGUGUAGCGGUGAAAUGCGUAGAUAUCGGAAGGAACACCUGUGGCGAAAGCGGCUUACUGGGCUUCUACUGACGCUGAGGCACGAAAGCAUGGGGAGCAAAC